GCAAACUUGGUCAUUUAGAGGAAGUAAAAGUCGUAACAAGGUUUCCGUAGGUGAACCUGCGGAAGGAUCAUUAACAAUUAUCCACUAUCAUGGAUAAUUUUAUCCAUAUCCACCUUGUGUGAAUUACCGAACGUUUGUUGGCAGGUUUCUUGUGUGUGUGUGUGUGAGUUUGGGCUUGGGCACUGAUGACUAUUCCAGUGGUCCAGCUCGGCCUGCCAAUUUUAUUUGUUUAAACAUGUCUAAAUAAUUACUGGUCUGAAAUACUUUAAAUAUAUAAUAAAAUACAACUUUCAACAACGGAUCUCUUGGCUCUCGCAUCGAUGAAGAACGCAGC
rnacentral:misc_RNA from 1 species